GGAAUUAAGCUGAUGAGCCAUACAAUGAAGCUAUGGGAGAGAGUCAUUGAGCACCGCUUAAGAAGAAUGGCAAGCGUGACCAAAAAUCAGUUUGGUUUCAUGCCUGGGAGGUCGACCAUGGAAGCCAUUUUCUUGGUACGACAACUUAUGGAGAGAUAUAGGGAGCAUAAGAAGGACUUGCAUAUGGUGUUCAUUGACUUGGAGAAGGCCUAUGAUAAGAUACCGCGGAAUGUCAUGUGGUGGGCCUUGGAGAAACACAAAGUCCCAGCAAAGUACAUUACCCUCAUCAAGGACAUGUACAAUAAUGUUGUGACAAGUGUUCGAACAAGUGAUGUCGACACCGAUGACUUCCCGAUUAAGAUAGGACUGCAUGAG
rnacentral:rRNA from 1 species